UACGUAGGGACCAAGCGUUGUUCGGAUUUACUGGGCGUAAAGGGCGCGUAGGCGGCAAUUCAAGUCAUCUGUCGAAAUCUCCGGGCUUAACUCGGAACGGUCAGAUGAUACUGCUUUGCUAGAGUGCGGAAGGGGCAAUCGGAAUUCUUGGUGUAGCGGUGAAAUGCGUAGAUAUCAAGAGGAACGACCUGGAGGUGAAGACGGGUUGCUGGGCCGACACUGACGCUGACAG
rnacentral:rRNA from 1 species